rnacentral:rRNA from 1 species
CUCAACGGAUAAAAGGUACUCCGGGGAUAACAGGCUGAUACCGCCCAAGAGUUCAUAUCGACGGCGGUGUUUGGCACCUCGAUGUCGGCUCAUCACAUCCUGGGGCUGAAGUAGGUCCCAAGGGUACGGCUGUUCGCCGUUUAAAGUGGUACGCGCGCUGGGUUUAGAACGUCGUGAGACAGUUCGGUCCCUAUCUGCCGUGGGCGCUGGAGAAUUGAGGGGGGUUGCUCCUAGUACGAGAGGACCGGAGUGAACGCACCGCUGGUGUUCGGGUUG